CCUUUUUAUUGAGAAGAAGGCACUGCAAGAAACCCAGCACUGCAAUGCUAUGAUUGAAUAUAAUGAAAAUUGCUCUAAAAACAUCAUUUCCAAGCUAGCCACCAGGCAUGCUUUAUUAGUGCCUCAUUGCCUGACCUUUGUGGCACAGCUGAAUUGAUUUAUAAGCUUUCCCUGUCUGUGUGACACAUUUUAUUUGUCAACCCUGUCAUUGGCCUGGUUUGUUCCCGAUUAAUUUAUCAUGGCAUCAUUCAAUGCAGAACUGAUUUGGUAGAAAAUUGAUUAUUGCCUUUGAUGAGAUGGCACGUUUGUCUCUGCCCUGCGCCAAAAGUGAAACUUUCUGCCUUGAUUCAUUCAACAUGGUUCCGGUGACCUCUUCUUCUUGGGCAUAGCUUAGAAGACCGUGGGCAAUAGUGCCAUCUGUCAUCUCCGACUCUUUGUGACCUCAUGGACCAGUCCACGCCAGAGCUCCCUGUCGGCCGUCACCGCCCCCAGUUCCUUCAAGGUCAAGCCAGUCACUUCAAGGAUACCGUCCAUCUGAUGACCGAGGCCCCAGCUUUCAAAUUGAUUUGAACCCGCAGCGGAGAGUUCCGCAGAUUCAUCACCUAAGGAACGGAGUGGGACUGCAGCAGACUAUUGUUAAAAGAUCUUUUUUUCUUCACUUUCCCCUUCCCUGAACUAUGUAACAAAUCCCCCCAAUAAAAGUAGCAUUCAUUUUUAACAGUAA